GAAAGAGAGCAGAAUCUCCAGCUAUCAGUUAGUGAGAGAGGCUGAGCUGUGGCGGGGAAUGGCUUGAGAGACUGCUGCCUGUUAGGGAAGGGUAAAAUUUGCAGCACUGCUAAAUACUUGGAGACAGCCAGAAUGAUUAUCUUCACAAAUGUUCACAUAAAACGUUUGUUGACAAGGAAUGAAAUUUCACUGAAAUCAACAUAUUCCUGUUAAACACGUGGAUUCUUGGCAUGGAAAACUGUUCGAUUGCAAACUUUCCAACCAGUGCUAAUCAUUCUCUUGUUCUGAAGACAAAGAUGGGUUUUGUUUUACAUGUUUCUAUUAAUUAUGAUUUAUUUGUAUUGCAGUAAUGAUCAUGGCUCCAUUAUGCUAGGCACUGUAUAGGCACACAGAGCCUCUUCUUCCCCAGAGAGCAUGCAAUUUAAAUAGACAAGGCAGAGAAAGCAUAGGAGAAAGAAAGUACUAUUACCCCCAUUUGAAUCAUGAGAAACUGAUUUUACGCAAAGAUUUAGGGCCAGAUUUUUAAAGUAUUUAGUUGUUUAAAGAUGCAGAUAGGCAUCUACUGCAAUUUUCAAAAGCAUCCAUAUAUUGUAUAUGUUAGUCUACUUAGCCUAGGGACUGUCUUAAACACUGAAUUUGUUGUGUGCGUGCAAAGGCAAAAUUGUAAAUAUUAAUUAUCUAUGUAU